GUGGAUUAGAUACCCUGGUAGUCCACGCCGUAAACGAUGAGUGCUAAGUGUUAGAGGGGUUUAACCCUUUAGUGCUGUAGCUAACGCGUUAAGCACUCCGCCUGGGGAGUACGGCCGCAAGGCUGAAACUCAAAGGAAUUGACGGGGGCCCGCACAAGCGGUGGAGCAUGUGGUUUAAUUCGAAGCAACGCGAAGAACCUUACCAGGUCUUGACAUCCCCUGACAACCCUGGAGACAGGGCGUUCCCCCUUCGGGGGGACAGGGUGACAGGUGGUGCAUGGCCGUCGUCAACU
rnacentral:rRNA from 1 species